GUUUGAAGAUGUUCUUUUACUAUCUAAAAUAAUUGAAGCUUUGAAAAGAUGUUGAUAAUAUUCGAUAGUUGCCUCAACUAUUGUAGUUUGGUGUAACGUACUACCUCUGUAAACAAAUGUAGGAAGUUUUUGCACUAAACGCGCACGCGCGCGCACAAGGGAAGUUAAGCACUACAAGAGGAGAGAAUGAACUCCAACAAAAGGAAACCAAUAAUCCAAUCAAUCUAGAAAAGAGUACUCCCUCUAUCCAGAAUUAGUUGUCGCUCAAACAGAUGUAUCUAACACUAUUUACGGACGGAGGAAGUAUGUCCCAUGGCACAUCGUUCUGAUCGACAUCCUCCGUAGUACUCCCUCCGUUCGGAAUUACUUGUCUCGGAAAUGGAUGUACGUUCUACAUACAUCCAUUUCCGAGACAAGUAAUUCCGAAAGGAGGGAGUAACUAUGUAGUUCCCUGCAGUGCCUUUUAUGUCACCAGCAGUUCAGACAAUCAGGCAUAUUAGUGUCCUCAGGGUUGCUCUUUUGGGCCAGGG
rnacentral:lncRNA from 1 species